rnacentral:lncRNA from 1 species
AUCCGGAGCCGGGCGGCUCGCCCAGGAUACGGAGCCCGGCGGUCACGGGGGAGAAGGUAGCUGUCGGGCAUUCCCCUGGCGCUGAAGGGCAGAUUGCUUGGAGAAACUCCAAGAUGAACCCCAAAGAUCUCCAUCUCCAGCUGUUCACACUCCUAUGUAAUCUCUAGCCCUUGGGUGUGGAAAGGACUUGUGACUUACUUUAACCAACAACAGAAUAUAGCAAAGAUGCCUAAGAACUGCAAAUGAGAAAUAAUUUUCUCACCUGGUCACAGCAUCUACCAAGAAUGGCGCUGGGGGAGAGAUCAGUGAGAUUCCAUCUUUAUUACCAUGUCCCUCCUUCCCUGUCAAAAGCAUUUCACAUCCCGCAAGUCCAUUAGACAUGGCACCACUCUGCUGUGGGAGAUACACACACAACUAAAUACAGGGUAACAAUACCUGCCUGGUCAGCACUUCAGCUCCAAAUCAAGCUUCACUAAUGACUAUGAGAUUAACGAAGAUGGUUUUGAUAAUUAUGACUGUUUGUUUUGUUUUUCUUAACUAUUCUUCAUCUGAGACUUUUACUUUUGUUUCUGCCAGCAUCCUGACAAACAUUUACAACCAGAAAGGGUAAGCCACUAGCUUGAAGCCAUUAAGUUAAGUUCAGUUAACAAGGCUUUGAUAACAACCCUCAUGUUUUUAAGGAAAAACAAAGAACCUAGUAAUCCUUUAGGCCUUACCCUGAAAGGGUAGCCAGAAGAAAAAUCACAAAUAACAUGAACUUACCGGAACAAUCCACCGGGGUGUGAUCAUGGAUGUGGAAGACACCUGAAAUAAUUUUAUAUAAAGCACAGAGACUAAGUUGCAGAGAGGAGGGAUGAAGAAAGAGAAGAAUCUUGACAACUCCUAGAAUCACGGCAUCUCAAAGUUGGAAGUUACAAGAGUCCAUCCAACCACCAAAAUACUUCAAGAGGUGGGUAAUUUUUAGUCU